GGUCACCCUAAGUCAGGGCAGCCAUUAACACGGGGCAAAAGGGGCAGCUGCCCGGGCCCAGUUGCUCCUGGGGGGCCCAAGGCAGCUGCCUCUUGAGCCUCGCUGCCCACAAUAAUAUGCUAAAAAUGUUCCCUCUCAAAUCCUGAUCUGAUUCAAUCCUCCACUAUUCGGCAUCGCUGCAUAUUAAAAGACUUUGUUUGCUCCUCCUCCCGACCUCCCUUGC